GCCCAGGGGAGAUGGAGGGAAGUGGGAAGAGGGCGGGUGUUGGGUUGGGGACGAUGACGAGGUGCAGACCCCUCAGAGGAAAUGAGCUACUCCAAGAAGAGGGUGGGAGAAAGGGACCAGGUCACUACUAGGGAGACGCCCCCAUGCUUGGGUGCGGGAGGAUUUCAGAGUGAGGAGCCCACACGGGACUUGAGCAGCCUGGAGCAUCAGCCACGUGACGCUGGGAGCCUGGGGGAGAACACAGAGCCCUUGGCUGCCGGAAGAUGUCAUCAAUGGCCAGGUGCCUGUAAUACCAGUACUUUGGGAGGCCGAGGAGAGAGGAUCGCUUCAGCUGUGGAGGUCAAGGCUGCAAUGAACCCUGAUCACACCACUGCACUCCCCCUGGGCAAUGGAGCAAGACCCUUUCUCCAAAAAAAAAAAAA
rnacentral:lncRNA from 1 species